rnacentral:tRNA from 1 species
GGAGUUGUGGCUCAGUGGCAGAGCACUUGCCUAGCAUGUGAGGCACUGGGUUCAAUCCUCAGCACCA